UUGGUUAAAGCCAAAUUAGAGGCUUAUCACUGUUAAUGAUAGAAAUGGAGUUCAAAUCUUCUAACCAAG
rnacentral:tRNA from 1 species